rnacentral:piRNA from 1 species
UGGUAAAUAAAGUGCCUGGCAGUCAAUGGUU